UGUAUAAAUAGUAACUGGUUUAGGACUUUCCAAUUAUAUAUUUAUAGCAUUUCUCUUGAGUACUGGAAAUCCAAAUUUCAUUUAUAACAUUAUAACUGUAUCAGUGUACAUAAAGAGCAACGUAAUUUCGAGUGACUAGCAUGAAUAUACAUUACAUGUAUUCAUAAUGGAUAUAAAUAGGAACUAUCACAUUUAUGAUAAAUUGUUGUCAUGAUUUAUAAUAGUAAUAUGGCAUAUGGAGUGAUAUCACCUCGGGUCGUAGACAAUAACAAAUGUAUAAGCGAGAAAGAAAAAACAAAAACAAAAACUGUAGACGUGGACUACGGAUCAUAAAUAAUAACAAGUGAAUUUACAAGAACUGUUUGAAUGAAUGUAGAGCAUAGCCGAAACAAAAAGCUAGAUCUGCAUAGAUUUACAAUACGGAUAGGAGAAAAAGUAAACAAAAAAGUGCAGUUUUACAUAUAUGGAAAACAAUGUACAUCAGCAAGAUGAGAGAGAUGAAAGAAUAAAGAGUAGGAAUUGGAAAAAAAAGAGUCAGGAGCUGCUAUUCAUGAAGGACACAGAAAAGGAGACAGAACAAGAAGGUUGUUCUUAUAGCAAGGACACAAUUAGAAAAGAAAAAAACUGCAGAAAUGGAUAUUUCUUUUCUGGUUGGAGACUUAAAUACCAUGUUGUUGUUUCGAAAGAAAUCUUCAGAUACAUGACAGAGUUGUUUCAUUUCAUUAUAAGGCUUGAAAAAAGUUCAGGAUGGCAACAUAUUUGUUGAAGCCCUGCCAAUGAGUAUACCAGUAACUGAAUCGGGUAGUCUUCCAAAAAUGUUAAAACUGACAGACUAAAGUCAUUUUUGCAUCAAUGAAUAUAAACAAACAUUCAGAAAAUGGCAAUAAACAAUGUAAGUGAAGAAGCAGCUCUCAGUAUUAGAAAAUUUGGAGCAAAAAGCAUUGCCGGUUUGGAAACAUCACAAGAGGAUAAAUCAGAAAUAUAAUUAGGAUGAAACUUUGGCAAGGAGUAAUUUUGAAACAGUAACUUCAGACUAAGUACUGAAAGAAAAACAGUGUAUCAUGAAACUUCAGUUGGUGAAUUAUACACAAUCUAUAAGAGAUUAACUGAGAAACCAGAUCAGGGAGAAAGAUGCUUUGAAGAACUACAUGUUAUUAAUAAAAAAUCUAAAAGUUGAAUCAGAUUAAUCUGGGAUUCAAAAUGAUACAGAUGAAACAGUGCCUCUACGGAAAAAUGAAACUAUCGAGUAUGAAUGCAUUAGUGGAAAGCUGAGAGGUUUCAAUAUUUUUCAAAUCUCAAACAGGUAGUUCUGAUAGUGUAGCAUUGGAAGAACAGCUACAAGAACACUUAUGGGUAAAGAUUAUUCUGAAACACAAACUGAAGUUGAAAGAGAGAAUGCGGAUGGUUCUGUUGAUCAUGUCAUAAGACAAACACAGAAUCAGCACCAGGGUUGGAAGCCAACUUUAGAUUUCAGACACAAUACAUUAUAAAGGUGAAUGCUUUAUAUCUACAGUGUUUGAGUAAGAAUACAACUCCACAGAUUGAGGACUAAACUCAUGAAAAAGAAAAGAGCAAAAAUAGUGAGAAGGAACGUAGUAAUAGGAGAAACAUGUGUGAUAUCACUGAAGGAUUUUACUGAGUAUAGAUGUUGGUUGGAAAAACAUACGUUAUUGUUCAGAAGGAGGGACAGUCGUUUUUACAUUCUACCUAACUGCAUUUUCCUAAAGUUAAUAUUUUGAAUUUAUGUGAAACAUUAAAAAGUAUGCAGGAGCCUUUCCCAAUCUGCUGAAGAUUGGUAAGUUAGUAGAUAUAUAGAGCAGGGGUGGUGAAAUCUGAUUUUGACUUAGUCAUGUUUGUGUUUGCUAAGAGCUAUUUUCUACUUGUCCUUAUAAUGGUUAUGUAGAAAAUAUGGUGAAAUUUUACUUGUUUGAGUAGGCAGGGGAUCAAACUGGGCAAGUCGGACAAAUGAUUUCACCACACCUGUAGAGAUUGUUUAUUUCAUUUUAUGAUCAAACUAUUUUUCACCAAGUGAACGCCAGAUAUGAAAAUCAGUCUUACUGUUUGCUGUUUAAGGUUGAAAAAUAAGUUGAACUUAUUUGUCAGAGAUAUUAUGUUUCACUCUUUUCAGCAGUUUUAGUACCUGUUUUACUUGUGUCUUGUCACUUGUAGUAUUAAAAGUACAUAAAGUUUUACUUUUUUUAUUAACAUGAUAAAAUACAGAAAAUUUCAAAGAAAUAUGUUAAUGUUUAUUUGUGAAACACUACUGUGAUUUGAUUGGACAUUAGUAUAUAAUCAACUGUUCUGUAGACUACUGAAAAGCAUGUGUAAAUAAGAUUAAAAUUCCAAGCACAGGUAUUUUAGAGCAUAAUUGGUGUAGCCUAGUUGCAACAUUACUGUAUUUUUUGAAUAAUUUCAGAGAGUUUGUGGUUUCAUACUUUUGUGAUGGGGUUUAUAAUAAAUUUCUAAACAUAGUAACAAAUUGCAGUGUACUCAAAUUGUUCACUACAAAUGCUAGCAGAAAAUCUACAUGUUUAAGACUUCAGACGAUUUUCAUUUUGCUGUAAUGAAGACAAUUGUAACAAUAUGAGUUUUAGACAUCUCAGACAAAUUGUAUGAAAUUACAACAUCUGUUUUAAUUUUGUUCCUAAGGUUUCUUGCACAAUGAAAUGAAUGCUAUGGAUAUAUAUGUUGACGAAUACCUGUAAAUCUGAAAAAAAUGAGAAUUUAUUAGAUGUUGAUAAUAAUUUUUUUUCCCUUUAAAAUAGACAUAAUUAUAAUCAUAACAUGGCACAGAUUUUUUGUUAGUUAAAUAAGCAUUGUUUCUUCUGUGAUAAACAGUAGUUCAGGAGCCAACCAGUUUCAGAACAUUAUUAUGAUUAUUUUGACUUCUGAUAGCCACAUAAUACCUGUUUCAUUAAUACUCAAAGAAAUGAAGUUUAGCAUAAUUUUAUCAGGCUUUUUUGAGCAUGUUAGAAAGAAACAAUGCUUUCUUAUAAAUAUUGUCUGAUUUACUAUAGUUUGUCACUCAUUUAUUUAAACACUUGCACAUGAGUUCUUUUACAUCAGAGCUAUGAACCAUGGUAAAUUGGAAAUAAACAAUGUAAAGCCAUUAUUUAUCAGAUAAUAGAAUACAAGCAAACCUGUAGGUGCUUGAAUAUUUAAACACUUGCACACAAUUUCUUGUGCAUCUGAGCUAUGAACCAUGGUAAAUUGGACAAUAAACAUUUUACAAUGUGAAGCCAUUGUUUAUUAGAUAAUAAAAUACAGUCAAACCUGUACACAAAGACCUCUCUUGGUGGGUUGUCUCUUUGCAGGAAAUUUAGGUUAAAGUACAAUGCAAAGGGAAAAUUAAGAAAUGAAACUUUAGUUAGUGAUCUUUUGAGACAGAUUGUGACAAUAUAUCCAAUUUCUCAAAAGCACAGGUAUGACUGUAUAAAACCUGUUUAGAAAUAGAUAUAGCUUCAAGGUAGUUCUGCACGUUUGAUAUACAAGACGUGAUGACGUAGAAUAAAGCCUGGAUUUGGUAUACGGAAAUGAAAAUCAUUUUAUGAAUUAAUGGCAACCCGUGAGUAAAUUUACUGCCAUGGCAACGUUACUAUCUUUCUUCAGUUAAAAAUAUGAUAUGAAAACAUAAGUCAAAAUAAUGUCUUAAAACCAGUUUGAAAUGUGCAGAUCACUUCAUUCAUGAGCAAAUACCUCAGAAAUAAGCAUACGUACAUAUACAUUUUUUUUCACAAUAUCAUAGGCCAUAUGUUUAUUUACAACUGUGAGAAGUUUAAGUAAAAUCUCUAUUCUUGAAAAUGUUAUGAAAAUUGUGAUUUUCCCAUAUAGACUCCAAUUGUGAAAACUUGCGUGAGGUCCAACUUUUUCAAAUCAGACUAGCGAACAAUCGAGCACACCUCCCUAUCUUUUUUUUUUUUUUGCUGAAUUUUCUAAGUAUAUUCUGAAGUUUGGAAAAAUCAGGGUUUAAUCAAAUUCUACAUUCAAAUUGUAGAAAUGUUUUUGAUCUGAAUGUGCAGAACUACCUUAAGAUAAGUUUUAUGUGGUUUUAGACAUUGUUUUAGACAUUCUCAGUUAAAGAUUAUGAGUACAGGUCCUAUUUUUAUGUUCUGUUAACUGAACUUAGUGUUAAGUUAGGAAAAUAGAAAGUAAAAUAAUGUACAAAGGAAGUGUGAGGUAUGGAAAGUAAGGUUUUAGAUGAACCAUUGAUUUGAUGAUGUAAUCUUUUUUGUAGUUUUCGUAUAUAAAAUGAUUGCUUAGUUUCAACAAUGGAGAUGUGCUAUCUUUAGAAAUAAUUGAGAAAAGAGCAAAUUAUUUUACUGCAGUAUAAGUUUAUAAGCAGUAGACACAGCCAUGCUUAAAUAGGAAUUUUUCAAUUCACUAAACAGUCUUUUUUAAUUUUUUUGAUACAACCACAUUUUUCACACAAAGGGAAACAAUAUAAUAUAACAGUCUUGAAACAAGCACAUUGGUGAACUUGUGGAAAUAGUAUAAAUGUAACAGUCUUGAAACAUGCACUUUUGUGCACUUGAUGGGAAAUGGUAUAAUGUAAUCGUCCUGAAACAAGCACAUUAGUGCACUUGAUGGACAAAGGCACAUUUGUACACUUGAUGGAAAACAGUAUAAUAUGAUAGUCUUGAAACAAGCACAUUUGUGCACUUGAUAGGAAAUAGUGUAAUGCAACAGUCUCAGAAACAAGCACAUCAGUCACUUGAUGGGAAAAGGCACAUUUUGUGCACUUGAUGGAAAACAGUACAGUGUAAUAGUCUUGAAACAAGCACAUUUGUGCAUUUGAUGGGAAAUGCCAUAAUUUAACAGUCUUGAAACAAGCAGAUUUGUGUACUUGAUGGGAAACCUAUAAUAUAACAGUCUUGGGACAUGCAUAUUUGUGCCCUUGAUGGAAAAUGGUAUAAUGUAAUAGUCUUGAAACGAGCACAUUUGUGCACUAGAUGGGAAAUGGUAUAAUGUAGCAGUCUUUAAACAAGCACAUUUUUGCACUUGAUUGGAAAUGGUAUAAUGUAGCAGUCUUGGGACAUGCACAUUUGUGCCCUUGAUGGAAAAUGGUAUAAUGUAAUAGUCUUGAAACAAGCACAUUUGUGCACUAGAUGGGAAAUGGUAUAAUGUAACAGUCUUGAAACAAGCACACUUGCUUGUGCACUUGGUUGGAAAUGGUAUAAUGUAGCAGUCUUUAAACAAGCACAUUUGUGCACUUGAUGGGAAACAGCACAUUUGUGCACUUGAACUUGGUUGCCAGCUUCACACCUAAACUGAAAAUUUUGGUAGCCCAGCUUGAAACUUGGUAGCCCAGCACAAUCAUUAGAAAUCUGUGAGUGUUUUUUUUUCCACCUCAACAGUAUGACAGUUCAAGCUUCUGAAUAUUUUCAUAGUUCAUAAGAUUUUAUAAUUUUAUAUGCUACAGAGUUUGCCUUAGGUCUAGACUUUGCAUCUGAAAUAAGCUGACAUUUUUCAAGCAUUCUUGAGCGUUCAUGUUUACUAAUACUGCCAUGUACAGUACCAGUUACAUAGGGUUUCCUUUUGUCUCCACUGAACUUGGCACAGGAAGUACACAACCAUUUUCGGUGUCUUUUAACCAAGUUUUAUUUUCCCAUUCCUCAAAAAAAAAUUGUUUUCUUUUCAGCUUUUCAUAUGAGGAAAAAUACUGUUUCUUUUCAUUCGGCAUUUGCUUCGGGCACGGCUUUGAUGGAGGUUUGGAAACACCUUGAAUAAACUGCCACAUUUUAAUUCCAAAUUGUUCAGUCGUCAUUAUCAAAAACAGUUUAAAGACAGUUUAAGAACUAAUACAUUCUAAAAAUGUUCCUGUUCUGUUCUUAAAAUUGUAUCAAGAACAAAUAAAGACCAAUAGAAUCUGUCCCUGAGUGUUCUCCUUUAAUGUUACUUGAAUAAUUAAAAAAAAAUGUGAGUUUAUCUCAUAAUGUAAGCUCCGAUAGUUUAUAUAUGUUUCACUUGUGUCUGAGAUGUUGCAUUUCAGGUACUGUAAUUUUGGGACAACUGUCUUCACUAAUACCAGAAAUGUAUUACAUUAGCACUUUUAUAAAAAGGACUUGAAAUUUAUUUAAAAAAAAGACAAGUUCAGAGCAGUUAAGACUUUUUUUUAAACCUUGUAUCAUAAUAAAGGCACUUUAACUUUCUGAACACCAAUUAAAUUAUUUAAACACAGCAUGGCCGUAACUAUUUGGCAUUGAAACAACAUAUGGAAGGUUUCUAACAUUGUCUACAGCAUUGUCAUUGUCAGGAGUGUUCAGAUAUACCAGUACUUUUUUCAAUUCUACAACAUCUACUACUGACAGAACAUCUGUUCGUCUAACGGCAACUAAUGAUUGGCAAUCCUGGCUCCUGGAAUCUGUGAAGCUGGCAUCUCUUGCAUCUUUUGGGUAACUGCAUACACAACUUUUUUACAUAAAAUGAAGUAUUUCAUGGAAACAAUUUCAUUAUUUCCAUACAUUACAACACUACAAAUUCCUUUUUGCAUACGGCUGUACUUUUCAGAAUAAAAUAUUAUUUCAUUUACAAUGACUCUGUCCACUCUUUUCAAUUUGUUGGAAUUGUCUUGCACCACAUUUAAAUGUUCCUUCACCUCAUUUUGGAUUUUAUUUGGCUUAAGGGGCUUAGCUGCACCGGCAAUAUGUUUUAUUUUUCUGCCAUCUGUCCUUUUUUUAGUCUAGCCCUUUUCUGCAGAUGAAUGACUGAACCUGUCUAUGCUUCAUCAAUUGUUUCAGUACAGUGCCUGUUUCAUAAGCAGCUUGAAGGAGUGUGGCAUUAGCAUCUUCUAAGGGGAAUGCACUACAGGCCCAAAGUGGACCCCAUAGCCUAACAUGCUCCGGCAAAUGAAAUCAAGUACUGUGGACGUUAAGUCCGCAUGAGCCAUCACCAUAUAACUGUUGAAAAGAAGCAUAAAACUGAUCCAGUAGAUCUUUAGCUGUAGCAAGCUCUUCGUGGGUGAUGAUAUCUCUCAGAAGAAUAUGGACUGCUUCAGACAAGUGUGAGAAGUUUUCCAAAUAGUCAUCUUUAAGAGUCUUUUACACAUGGAAAUUUAAACCGGUUUAUGCAUAGUACAAAAGCCGAGACUGUACCUCUACAGCCUUGAAAUGGGUAUAAUGUUUUUCAAGACCUCUUGGCAGUCUUUCUAUACCUUUUGGGGGCUUAAGGUUUUUUAUCUUGCGAGAAAUUUCUUUCAAAUGUUUUCCAAUAAAGCAGUCAAUUUGGCUUUGUUAAGGAGAAAACCACCAUGUCAUUAAAGUUUUGACUACACCCAACAAUACACCAUGCAUGUACUCUGGAAGUGUUCCUUUCACAAUGUUAUAACUCUGAAGAUUUGAAAGCGCUGAAAUUCCCUUAAAGCCACUGGAAUGCUUAUUGUGAGUGCCGGAUUGCAUGUGAUGUUGUACGGACUCCUCAGUUCAAGUAUUGCUUCGGGUGCCAUGGUGAGCUUUUGUGAUCGCUCGAUGUCUGUCGUGCGUCGUCCGUCCAUCAACAAUUUCUAGAAAAAUCUUCUUCUAAACCACUGGGCAGUUUUACACCAAACUUCAUAGAAUUUUCAGAAGAAUGUAUGGACUGUGCAGGUUUGGUUCGACUUGCCUUGAAUGCCAUCGCUUCCUUAUGGGAUGCACUCUUGCUGUGUCUUGAUACCGAAUCUUUGGUAAGCCACGUACAAGGGACGUCCACCAAGGCAGCCAUCCCAAUCUUUACUUUUUGUCGGUCACUGCUGAUGUGGGAUACAGAGCUUGCAUUUCAUACCUGGAAUUAUAAAAGAAAUAUUAAGAAAACCUGUUGAAAAGCACGUAUUCCAAUUUGCCGGAAAUUCACUAUUUACUUACCGAGCAUAGCAGCUAGUCUUGGCCAGAUCUGAUCAUUGAGUCUCUCAACUAUAUCAGUUGCAGACAUUUCCUUGAAUCAAAUAUAAAAAGUUUAAAUUUUGCAGACAAUAAAGUAGUACCUGUUUCAUAAGCAAAAUGUGAAACAUACAUCAAAGGUACAUUCGAAUCAUUUUAUAUCAAUUAAUCAAGGACAGUAACAUGAUCAUUGAUGAGGUCAAAUCCCUGUUUUCCAAUUCCAAUGAUGGGCCACUCUGUUCUCUGUAGCAUUUUAGCUGACUUAAAAUUGACUCCAUUAUUGUAAUCUAAGUUACCUUUAAAUUAACUAGAUUUUGACUUCAAAGCUGAAUCCACAUACAUGUACUUACAUCUACAAUCCAAAACAGACUGGUUUCCUUCUCACCAAGAUAUGCUGCAAGACUUGUAGGAUUGCUGGUAGGAGUGUAGUAACAGUGUCCAUUUCGCUUUCAACUUGUACUUCAUUUACGUACAUCUGUAUUGGAGCGUGAGAAGCUUGUUUGGAUUUGAAGAAUUUUAACAUUCUUCAAAUACAUCUCAGCAAAUGCUUCACAAAGCUUAAGACCAAGCAAAGCUUGACAAUGUUGAAGCAUUAUAUUGUGUUCUGCAAACAUUUUAAGGCCAUUCAUUUUUAAGUUGAUGUAAUGUUUUCCCUUUUUGAUGUGUUUGUGUUGUAGUGGAAAAGAUGUCUUCAUGUUUCAUAGAUAUUUUCCUAGUCUGGCAUCCAUACAUUGCGAUUAUGGAAUUUAGACCAUGAAACCGUGGUGAUUGCUGGGAGAAAAUAGCCUCAGCCUUGUAAACGCUCUGUUAAAAAAAAAGAAGAAAAAAUGUUACAAGCAAAAUGUAAUAAAAAUCCUCACCACAAAUUUUGCUGAGAACCACCUCAUUCUUCCCCAUUUCAGGACAUUUCACCGUCACUCUUUGACCAACUUUGUACAGUCCAUAAUCACACCGUAGCUGCACAGUAUGGCUGAGUCUUAGAACGCUCCUACUGAAGGGGUUGUCAUUUACCCAAACAAACAAUCAAAAAAGCUCUGACAGUGUAAGGAAAAGAAAUAAACACGUUGAGGAAAAUAAUGGCGAAUUCCUUUCUUUGUUCUUUGAAUUAGUGGGCUUAUCAGGAAAGUACUACACUGAUUGCUUUACUGGACACUACAUGACAGGGUCCAGUAUGGGAUAUGUUAUCACUAAAUGAGUCAAACUUCUACCAGUUACCCCAUGGAAAACCUGAAUUUAUUAUCGCGCUGGUCUACAUAUUUUUUGUGAUAGAUCUGUUACUGUUCCAUGUGAGAUUACGUGAAUUUAUACACAGAAUCAAAGAACUAUAAAAUACUAUUUUUAUAGCUCUUUGGAAGAAUAUAACGCUGGUAAAUUUAAAUCUUCAUUUUUCUGUGUUGAUAAUAGUUUAUAUUUCAAAACGCUGGACACGAAAAUCCUAAGAUUUGUUUUGGCCAGUAAUUAAAUUGAAUACAGAAAGCAGCAUAUACAAAGAGGAAACUAUAACUUAUCUUUCGAAACUGGGGAUGAUUCCAAAAGCUUGCUCUCAUUUUUCAUCAUUUUAGAUACACUUUAUUAUGACAGGAUAUAGUAUGAUUAUUUUAUCCUGAGGAAAAAUCAUAGCAAAUUUAAUAAACUAAUGUUAGUAAUUACAGUGUGCGACAUUAACGGUAGCCCGAUCGCCAAUGGCUACGAAAAUUCGGCUCGGGCGACAGAAAAUCGGCAGACCGUAGCCCGUCGGGCUAUGAAAAAUUCUGAGGAAUAAAUUUACCAAAAAGAUCAAUGCAAACGUGGGAGCAAAAUAGUUGCUUUGAAGCUUCAAACUUCGCUCAAAUCCAAUCUCAAAGCGAAUUCCAAGUCGCCCGAAUUUUUUUUUUGGAUGCGCACCCGCUAAUCUUUUGACAAUUUGCACCAUGUCAUAAUGUGCGUUGAAUACACAUACACACUCGCCGAUAGCAUAAUUUAAGCUCCGCCUACUUCAGGUACUUGUGAGAUUUUCGCGAGAAGUGUGAAAGCAAAUCAAAUUAUCGGUUUCACCAGAGGCAAUUGUGAUAGGCCAAUCAGCGCCGCGGUUACGUCUUUGACACUUAGCAUUUAAUUGUCAACACGUGCGAGUCGUUUUCUAAAUAAUUGUCAGUUACAUAUGCGAUUAAUUGGAAUUAUAGACACAAUUAUUUGGUAUCCAUGGUAAAAGAACGACAUGUAAAGUAUUAACUUCGUAAAACUAACUUUGAUGGAUGAAUUGAUUUGAAUACUGGUAUGUAUUUCUAGGUUUGACACAGUUUACUUUCAGUUUUAUUCGAAUGAGAAACUGUUCACACAAGUGGUGACUCGGUAUAAAUGUGUAUGGUAAAAUGAUGUAACUAAGAAAAUGAGUGGUCAUUGAAUCAAUUCACAGCGUCGAGGUAGAAAUAUAAAAAUUAAUGGAGUCUUCCAACUUCUCCCUAAAGUCUCCCCACUUCUCCUUAAAUCAGUUUGAGGGAUAAUUGAUUUCUCCCCCCAAAAAAUGGACCUAGCGAGACCCCUGGUAAGUCUACUGCCAAGCUAUUUCUUGACCUCCAUGUCUACAAAGCUGUUUAGAUCACUUUUCAUGACUCUGUGUCUUUGACUUUCUGCACAAUUUUGUGAACACUGUUUCAGAUUUUGAAAUCAAUUCUGAAAAACUCAUACAAAUUUCUGAAAUAUAUCAACCAACCUACAGCAGUAUAUUGAAAGAAAUUAAAUAUUACUAGAAUGAAAGUCUUGUUCAUUCUUGAAGACUUGAGCGAAAAAUAGUGGGGCUACGAAAAAUUCUGUCGGGCUACAAAAAAUUGGUGGCUACGGUGUUAAAAAGUUAAUGUCGCACACUGUUAAUUAGCAUUUUGAUUUAGAUUGUUUUAUAUUUAUGACGGUGGAGACAUUGUCCAUAAGAAAAAUAACUCAAUGUAUCCCUAGGAUUGCGUCAAAUUUGUUGGACUAAAUGUAUAAUUAUGCAGAUGUAUCAGUGUAGUAGUAAUCUAGAUCUUUGCCCGAUGCUGCUGUAACUAAAGAUUCUUAGUUGAACAUCAUCAUUUGAAUGUAGAAGUAAAUAUUGUAUCAUCGUUCCUACAAAGAGACACAACUGUUUUACUCGCCAUUCGAAAAGACUUUGCAGUUUGAUUUAUCUGCCAGUUUUAUGAAGUUAUAUCCUGAAGAUUAAAGUCUCAAAUACCGAUCUGUGUCACCAUUUUGAUGUCCAUUCGCAUAACUGUUUCUUACGUUUACAUAACCUGUAGAAAGAACAAUAAUGUCAUAAACAAUGUAUAACAUGCCCCUGGAAAUGAGUAACAGAAAAAUAAAUAAAGUAGAAUACAAACUUACAUGAGAAAAUAGAAUCAGGUAUAGGACGAAUUAUUUCAAUAUCGUUUUACAAAAAAAGGGGCAUAAUUUAAGAAAUCAUAAUCAGACAUAAACCCCUGCGAAAUAAUCUGGAAUAGUUCUAGAACUAUACUAACAUUGUUCUAGAAUAAGUGCUCUAGAACAGUACUAGAACAACGCUCAUUAGUUCUAGAACAUUUAAAGAACAGUUCUAUUACGUUAAAUGAGACAAAUCUGUCCCUGGAAUGUUCUAGAACUGUUCUGUUACUUUUUUUUAUCAGUUGUGCUAGAACAGUUCUAUAACAUUUCAGGGACAGAUGUUCUAGAACUGUUCUGACCAUUUGUUCUAGAACAGUUCUACAGCGUUAAAUGGGACAGAUCUUCCCUGAAAUGUUCCAGAACUGUUCUGGUUACUAUUUUGACCACUUGUUCUAAAACAGUUCUAGAACAAAAACCCUAUGAUAGGUCGAGAACAGUUCCAGAACAGUUCUUGAAAUGAUAUGUGAUGAUUCUAGAAUAGUUCCAGGACACCUGCUCAGUAAACGGCUGAAACAUACUUGUAGUUCUAGAACUUGGGGGGGAUGUACCUAGAAUGAAUCAAUGAUCCAAAAAAUAUGCAAAUAAAAGUAAACUCACAAAACUACAAUAAUGUUUAUUACAAAAGUACACCCCUUGACAUUUACUGUUACUAUUUAUAAUAUUAACUGUAACUAAUAACUAUAAUAUAGUUUAACUAUUAACUUGUAACAAUGUUAAUAAAAUGAUAGUGUAAAGAAGCCGAUGAAAAGAUCUGCAGACUUAACUUGAGGCUUGACAGCAGCUGCCCUCCUCUCCAUUUUCAUAAUGUUAUCAAAUUUUUUUUUGAAGAUUACAGUAUUCAUAGACGGACGUUUAGUCAGAACAACACGCUCCAACAACUGGAGCCUUAUGUCGUCCAAGACAGUAACCUAAUGUUCUAUUUAUCCUACCUUCUGGUCUAAAAUCAUUCUUUAAUUAAAAUUCAAAAUUUACCACCAACUAGAUCUGAGUAUGUCUUGCGCAGAAAUUAAUACGCCCCUACUUUACACACACAGGACUUUAAAGUAAAAUUAUUAUAAAAUAAGAGCCGAAAAACAAAGGCUAACCUUGCUCUGCUUUGUGUCUGACUUCUCUGUACUGCUAAACAUUAAAGAAUAAUUUUAAUUUGCUGCCAAGUGAAGUUUUGUCCGAAGUUCAAUUGAAUGUCGGAUUGCCCAUCCUCACCAAGCAAACGACUGAUGAGACUUAUAUACACGCCAUAUCGCCGCUUGACAAAACAAAUAGGCAAACUGUUUCCUCGAUGAUUUUAUUCAAUAACACUCCAUUACAGAUGCAAUAUAUUCCCAGAUUGAAGUGUGGAAAGCUAAAAAUCUGAACAAACACUAUACAUGAGUCACUUUCCGUUUCUCCGAGCAUUUCCGUUAUAAAAACUUCUUGUAGUAAUUGCAAGUACGGUAUGUAUACACUAUACAUUUUUGACAUGGUCUCACGUACCUAAUAAAAGGGCGUUUAUGAAAAUAAUUGCAUAAAUAUGUCUUUUUAGCAGUUAUUCUCAAAAACAAGAUGGCGUCGUUUUAAAAAAAAUCCAAAAAGUAGUCCGCCAAGCUUUAUUUAGUCACUGACCAGAUAAAGCAAAAUUUAUUUGACCCCUUGAUUUCUGCCUUUAUUUUAAAUGAAGGUAGGAUAAAUAAAAUAUAACAAUCCAAGAUUAAUCUAAUCAAUUUCUGUUUUCAUUUACAAGUACUGGUGAAAACCUUAAUUAUGUAUUUAUAAAUAAUCAGUGACAUUCAUUAAUAGAGAUUAAUAUUUUCAAGAGCAUUUUCUGAGAAUACUACUGGACAUAUUGAAAAGUUAAAGUUAUACAGGUUUUUCUAAAUUUUUGAGUAACAAUUAUUGUAUAGAACAUUUGAAGAACAUUUAUCCCUUAACUGUUCUAAAAGUGUACUGGAAUUCUGUUGCAGAUCGUUUCUAGAACAUACCGUAAUAAUUCUAUUUAUAGCCCGGGCGUUUAUUAGAAACACGGUCGGCUCAAAAGUUAGGGAAGGGCGAAUAAAAGAGACAAAUCACCAGCAAACAUUCAAAAUCUUGAUGUAAUAUUUAUUUUCGAAUGUACCGGUGACUAUAAGAAAGUAAUGAUGUGAUAGUCGUACAAAAGUCGUUUUCAAGCAAAUUUAAAAAACACCCUAUUGUUUUAGAUCAAAGCGCCUUGAAUCCAGUAUUGAUUAAAUUUCCCCUGCGGGACCCCUGUCUCAAAAUGUCAGACUAGUGACGUGACGUAAUUACGAAAAGCGCGCACCUUUGCAUUAGCACAUGUUUACCUGGGUCAAUACACAUUACAUGUACCAUAAUAAUUCUAUUUAUAGCCCAUGCUCUGAUAAACGCCCAGUCCCGACUUUUGUAAAAAAAACGGCCUUUUUUAAGAAAAAAAUAAAGAAUACGAUGUUAUCUAAUAAGCGCCCAUCCUAUGAAUCUUAGAAAAUAAUCCUACCUUUUAUCAGUUAAACAGUGAGUUUUCUUACUUCCCUUCUGAUGUAAGAUCGUACAUCACUUUUCUUGUCUUUAAUUCUGGCUGCUUUAACUGAAACUAACACACAUGCCGCCAUAUCAUAUAUACAUGUAAGUGUAUUGACCCAGGCAUUCAUGACAGAAUAAAUUAAAUUUAAUCAUGUAUUUUGUGAGUUUAGCUUGGCCGGUUAUAGUACCGAUCUAGUACGGCCGACAUCAUUACUUUCUUAUAGUCACCGGUACAUUCGAAAAUAAAUAUUACAUCAAGAUUUUGAAUGUUUGCUGGUGAUUUGUCUCUAUUAUUCGCCCAUCCCUAACUUUUGAGCCGACCUUGUUUCUAAUAAAUGCCCGGGCUAUAAAUAGAAUUAUUACGGUAUAUAUGAUAUGGCGGCAUGUGUGUUAGUUUCAGUUAAAGCAGCCAUAAAAGGUUAUCAUGUUCAUAAAAAUAAUCAUCCUUUCGGAACUAUACUGACAUGCAUAUUAGAACCUGAAAACGAACACAGUGAUUGUUCUUUUGUUCGUGCAAGGAGCGGGCAUUGUAAUACUGUGUUCAUAUAAAAUCAGGGACAUAAUUCCUGAUAAAAUAUACGGAAUUAAAGACAAGAAAAGUGAUGUACGCUCUUACAUCAGAAGGGAAAUAAGAAAACUCGCUGUUUAACUGAUAAAAGGUAGGAUUAUUUUCUAAGAUUCAUAGGAUGGGCGCUUAUUAGAUAACAUCGUAUUUUUGAUUUUUUUCUUAAAAAAGGCCGUUUUUAUUUACAAAAAGUCGGGACUGGGCGUUUAUUAGAGCAUGGGCUAUAAAUAGAAUUAUUACGGUAUGCAGAACUUGAUUUGACAAAAUCUUCUAGAAUUUUGUUUCAGAACAUUUGUAGAACAUUUGAAGAAAUUGAUAUUUCCUUGAAAUGUUCUAAAAAUGUUCUAAAACUAAGUUCUGGAACAUUUGUAGAACUUGUAAAUCACAGAAUAGGUCAUGAAUUUAUUUUGGAACAUUUUAAGAACACUUUUAGAACCAAAUAUUGUUCUGCAAAUGUUCUUGAUUUGUAUAAUAAAAUGUUCCAGAACAGUUCCAGAGCAGUUGUUCUAGAACUGAGUUACGGAACACUUCUAGUACUGUUCUGUUAUGUUCGGAAACAGUUCUAGAACUGUACUGAUUUCUAGAACAGAUUUUCGCAGAGGAUACCCCGAUGUUUCCCAAACACGAUAGGUAAAUGAGAUUCUGAGAUUUCUGUUUUUAGCUCACCAGAGCACAAAGAGCUCAAGGUAAGCUAUUGUGACCGGUCAUUGCCUGGCAUCCGUUGUGUGUCAGUGCGUCAACAUUUGCCUUGUGAACACUCAAGAGGCCACAUUUGUGACCCAAUCUUUAUGAAACUUGGUCAGAAUGUUAGUCUUGAUGAUCUCUAGGUCAAUUCAAUAGAGUCACCAAAAUUUACAGGAAUGAUGGUCAGCAUGUGAAGUUGUGCACCGGGGGUUUCGCGUCGGGAUUCAUCCAGUCAUGUAGGAGUUAUAGCCCCUAGAAAUAAAAAUGAGGCAUGCCUUUCUAGACAAAAAUAUCAAUUUUGUAAGACAGUCACUCAACAACUAUCUCUGUAAAAUUAUUUUGAAAUCUGGGCAGUAGUUGAUUUUUAGCUGCACUAUUCGGAGAAUAGGGGGGUACUAUUCGCCCCGGCGUCGGUGUGACCCUUCUUGGUGAAUGUUUUUUCGGCAACCUUUGUUUUUCUGUCGUAUCUUUGUUACUUUUGCUUAUAUCAUACUGUAAGUUUACAUUAAAAUUGUCCAGCAUACAAACAAAGUAUGUGCAGGGGCUGGGCUCACUAUACCCAAGGUCAAGGUCACCAAGAAGUUAUACUUUGAAUUAUUUUCAUGUUAAAUUUUUUCGAGAGCUUCGUUUAUAGACAUAUCUUUGGUACUUUAAAAGAGAAUGACUUGAAAUUAAAAGUAUUUGUUUAUAAUCAUCUGCAUGUGUGGCUACAUACCCCAUAACUCUAAUUGUGUUUUUGGCAGAAUUAUGCUCCUUUUGUACUUAAACUUUUUUGCAAUCUUCGCUUUCUGGAUAUAACUUUAAUGCAAUAUAAGAUAAAGACUUGAAACUUACAUUGUAUCUUUAUCAUCAUCAUCUGCAUGUGUUGUAACAAUCCUAAUAACUCAAAUUUGUGUAUUUGAUGGAAUUAUGCCCCUUGGUGUAUCUUCCUUUUAAAGUAGAGGUCUCUUAUGCAGACAUAAUAUUCAUUUUACUGUCAAAUCCCCGAAUAGUGGAGCGCGCUGUCUUAUGGACAGCUCUUGUUUAGGUUUUUUUUUAAUUCAGAGAAGUUGUUUGAAGAAAACGUUGACUAAAGAAUAGACGGACGACAGUAUCCCAAAAUGCUCACUUCGUACUCAGGUGAGUUAACAGUACAAAAUGUGUUGCUUGUUUCAAAGGUGACCUUGCAUUCCUUGAUAAUUGUUAAAAGAUUGAAAGAAAAUAUAGUACAAAUUUCCAAUAUGUUUAUUAAAAUACAAAUUAAUGAACUCAAAUAGUCAUAUUGCAAUUUGUUCCUUGGAAAUUUCCCGUCGGCUGGCACUUGUCUUCUCGCAGUACUAAUUCUUUCUCUGGUUUCGCGCGCUGAAAGUAAUAAUUUUGUACACUAUUAAGAAAAGCUAUCGAAUUUGCAGUAAAAAUUAUAUUUUCUUUCUGUUAAAUUAUGUUGUUGCUUUUUCUUUUAAUAAAUGAAUUCUGGGUUAGCAUUAGACCUGAGUAAUAAAAUCAAUAUGUUUUGUACUGUUAAAAUGUUAAAUAAUAAAACAAAUACCAACCCUUUCCUUUUGUACAACGUCUUACAAGUUGUUGCCGUUGCUUUUUUCAUCACGGGAUUUAUCAACAGUCUGUAAAUUAUGAAAUAUAAAGUGAAAUAGGGAUGACAAUGAUCUUAUGUAACACUAACUUUUUUUCAGAGAUACAAACAAAUUAUUUCAACGUGUGUGUGUGUGUUUUUUUUUUUUACAUAAUAACUUCGGUAAUGUUUGCACAUAUGUUAAAAUUACCUUCUUUUUAGCUCACCUGUCACAUAGUGACAAGGUGAGCUUUUGUGAUCAAUCUUCGUCCGUCGUCUGUGCGUCCGUGCGUCAACAAUUUCGUGUCUGCACGACAGUGGUUUCGUUUAUGAUUUUAUUUUAACCAAACUUGCACACAACUUGUAUCACCAUAAGAUCACAGUUCCUUUCUUGAACCGGCCAGAUCCCAUUAUGGGUUACAGAGUUAUGGCCCCUGAAAGGGCCAAAAUUAGCUAUUUUGACCUUGUCUGCACAAUAGCAGCUUCAUUUAUGAUCUGAUUUUUACCAAACUGGCACACAACUUGUAUCACCAUAAGAUCUUGGUUCCUUUCUUGAUCUGGCCAGAUUCCAUUAUGGGUUCCAGAGUUAUGGCCCCUGAAAGGGCGAGAAUUAGCUAUUCUGACCUUGUCUGCACAAUAGCAGCUUCAUUUAUGAUUUGAAUUUAAUCAAACUUGCACAAAACUUGUAUCACCAUAAGAUCUCGGUUCCUUUCUUGAACCGGCCAGAUCCCAUAAUGGGUUCCAGAGUUAUGGCCCCUCAAAGGGCCAAAAUUAGCUAUUUUGACCUUGUCUGCACAAUAGCAGCUUCUUUUAUGAUUUGAUUUUAACCAAACUUGCACAAAACUUGUAUCACCACAAGAUCUUGGUUCCUUUCUUGAACUGGCCAGAUUCCAUCAUGGGUUCCAGAGUUAUGGCCCCUUAAAGGUCCAAAAUUGGCUAUUUCGGCUUUUGCAGCCAUAUAGAGACUUCAUUUAUGGUUUUAUUUGAUACAAACUUCCAAAAUAUCUUCAACAACAAUACAUCUUAGAUUCCAUGACAAAUCAGAUCCAUUCGUGGGUUCCAAAGUUAUUUUAUCUUAUACCUGAUUACCUCCCCUGAUUGUUUUCAAAAAGCUUAAUCAGUCUGUGAUUUUAGGUCGGGACUUCCUAAAAGACCAAAAGGCCUGGGUUGAUUUUGGCAAUGAUAUGUUCCAGUGUAUUAGGAGGACUACUUAGAAAUUUCAAGUUUUGGUUGAAUUCCAUAUAAAUAUAAUCCGCAAAGUAGAUCCCUAGGAAGCACCGAGAACAAUGCAGUCAGUGAAAAUUGCAGACUCGGUUUGAUUGAGGCUGUUCAUGAACAGUAAUGGAAAAUGCAACACUGCCCAUGCCCCCUAGCACCGGCUUAAGCAGUAUUCAAAACACAUUUUUUCAACAACUUGUCAACGGUGACAAUAACUGUCUCUUGAAAGACCACUACCUUCUUUUGAUGAGGACACAGAUUAUUUUGAACACAGUUGAGUAAGGUUUCAUCAUUGAUAUGAUCUAUAUCUGCAUUAUCCAAAACAAACUUAUCAGUGCUGCAGACUUUUAUUACUGCAUAUUUCAGGUCAUUUACAACCACAAAACAUACAGUAAACCCAUAUUUUUCCUCAUUUUGUUCAUCCAGAAAUGAAAUUGUGUAGCAAUUCUGCAUUUUGAUAUUCCUUGCAAUGGUAUACGGUUUCCCCUUUCUGCAGUCUGCAGAAGGUCAAUGGUGACUGAGCCAGCAUUUCUGCCGGUAGCAUGCCAUAAUGUUGAUGGGUAUCCACCAUUGGCUUGGUUGCCCCUAAAGCCUUUUUUCUGUGCCACUUUUAUCCUCCCUGUUAAGCUGUUUAAAUUGGUUGUUUGUCAAUUAUUUUGACAAAUUUUGUUUUAAUUUAAUAUAUUGACUUGUCGCAUGGUACAUUGUUAUGUAUGUGUUCUGUAAUUUUUUUAUCAUUUUGGGGUAAAAUCACCAUUUUUUUGGGUAAAAUAAAUACUGAAUUUUGAGAAUUUGUAAUACAAUAUCAUAACUACUUCUUGUUUGUCCUUUCCUUUUCUACCCAAAUCAUACCUGCAAUGUUUAUGUCACUUGAUUAGAUCAUCAGAACACUGAAUUUCAUCAAUCUUGUAUGGUACCUCAUGAAACAAGGCACUGGACACAUCAGUUCAUUGGCAUCACUCUCCAGUAUGAACAUUUUUACCAUCCAAACCAGGUUUAAUUGUUUUCCCUGACUUGACAGAUUUUUUUCCUGUCCUUGAGCAAUUAAUCAGCUCUUCUUUUUCAAAGAACACAAUUGGGUUUAGUCUCUUUCAUACUCAAAGAACACAGUUGGGUUUAGUCUCUUUCAUACUCAUAUGCAAAAUAAUCAAUGUAGUAAAAACAAGAAAAAUCAGUUGCUUGCAAACUCUUGUUACAGUUGUCAGCAUGUACAGCAAUCCAACAGCAGAAUACGUACAAGACAAACACAUGGCAUUAUGCCAUGAGAUCCAUCAGAUCUUAAAUUAGCAAAAAAUGUUAAGUCAACAAACAAAUGCACCGACACUUUAACUUCUUAAAAUCUGAAACUAUAAAAUAAACAGCAAGUUAAUCACCACAACUGAAUCAGACUAAACAAUUUUUUCUGGUCUAUUCAGUCCUUAAAGUGUGACCUCCUUAUGAAGAUUUUCCAACUUCGUGGAGAAACAUUCCUUCGAAAUCCCGUUUAUUCUUAUAACAAGUCUCUCUAAUAUUAGUAACGUGUCUGCAUUCAGUGGUGGUCUUGGCGAGCCGAUACAUUUUGAAGUUUUUUCCCCGUCCUAGAACAGUUUACAAGUUCAUUUACAUCGAAGAUGGCUUUUGCCAGGAUUGUAAAAAUUCUUGAGUAUUUGAGGACAUCAGAUGGCCUACCAGAUCUAACCAUAUCUAACACACAACCCUGCUAUUAACAUGGCAUCUGAAGUUAGGUCAAGAUGGUCAAAUAUAAGUAAGUAUUGACCCUGGGAUCAUAAUUUGUAUUUGUUCUUUGUAGAAUUAUUUGAACAAUUUUGAAAAGGGGCCACCCGUGCAUCAUUCCUUUGAAGUUUGAUGUAAAUCUGCCAAGUGGUUUCGAAGAAGACUUUUUAGCUCACCUGUCACAAAGUGACAAGGUGAGCUUUUGUGAUCGCGCGGUGUCCGUCGUCCGUCCGUGCGUGCGUAAACUUUUGCUUGUGACCACUCUAGAGGUUACAUUUUUCAUGGGAUCUUUAUGAAAGUUGGUCAGAAUGUUUACCUUGAUGAUAUCUAGGUCAAGUUCGAAACUGGGUCACCUGCCUUCAAAAACUAGGUCAGUAGGUCUAAAAAUAGAAAAACCUUGUGACCUCUCUAGAGGCCAUAUAUUUCAAAGAUCUUCACAAAAAUUGGUCAGAAUGUUCACCUUGAUGAUAUCUAGGUCAAGUUCGAAACUGGGUCACGUGCCUUCAAAAACUAGGUCAGUAGGUCUAAAAAUAGAAAAACCUUGUGACCUCUCUAGAGGCCAUAUAUUUCAGUAUACUUCAUGAAAAUUGGUCAGAAUGUUCAUCUUGAUGAUAUGUAGGUCAAGUUCGAAACUGGGUCACGUGCCUUCAAAAAGUAGGUCAGUAGGUCAAAUAAUAGAAAAACCUUGUGACCUCUCUAGAGGCCAUAUUUUUCAUGAGAUCUGUAUGAAAGUUAGUCUGAAUGUUCAUCUUGAUGAUAUCUAGGUCAAGUUCAAAACUGGGUCACAUGCGGUCAAAAACUAGGUCAGUAGGUCUAAAAAUAGAAAAACCUUGUGACCUCUCUAGAGGCCAUAUAUUUCAUGAGAUGUUCAUGAAAAUUGGUCAGAAUGUUCACCUUGAUGAUAUCUAGAUCAAGUUCGAAAGUGGGUCACAUGUCUUCAAAAACUAGGUCAGUAGGUCAAUUAAUAGAAAACCCUUGUGACCUCUCUAGAGGCCAUAUUUUUCAUGGGAUCUAUAUGAAAGUUGGUCUGAAUGUUCAUCUUGAUGAUAUCUAGGUCAAGUUCGAAAGUGGGUCACGUGCCUUCAAAAACUAGGUCAGUAGGUCAAAUAAUAGAAAAACCUUGUGACCUCUCUAAAGACCAUAUUUUUCAUGGGACCUGUAUGAAAAUUGGUCUGAAUGUUCAUCUUGAUGAUAUCUGGGUCAAGUUUGAAACAGGGUCAUGUGCGGUCAAAAACUAGGUCAGUAGGUCAAAUAAUAGAAAAACCUUGUGACCUCUCUAGAGGCCAUAUUUUUCAUGGGAUCUGUAUGAAAGUUGGUCUGAAUGUUCAUCUUGAUGAUAUCUAGGUCAAAUUCGAAAUUGGGUCAUGUGCCGUCAAAAACUAUGUCAGUAGGUCAAAUAAUAGAAAAACCUUGUGACCUCUCUAAAGGCCAUAUUUUUCAUUGGAUCUUUAUGAAAAUUGAUCUGAAUGUUCAUCUUGAUGAUAUCUAGGUCAAGUUCGAAACAGGGUCAACUGCGGUCAAAAACUAGUUCAGUAGGUCUAAAAAUAGAAAACCAUGUGACCUCUCUAGAGGCCAUACUUGUGAAUGGAUCUCCAUAAAAAUUGGUCAGAAUGUUCACCUUGAUGAUAUCUAGAUCAAGUUUGAAACUGGGUCACGUGCCUUAAAAAAACUAGGUCAGUAGGUCAAAUAAUAAAAAAACCUUGUGACCUCUCUAGAGGCCAUACUUUUCAUGGGGUCUGUAUGAAAGUUUGUCUGAAUAUUCAUCUUGAUGAUAUCUAGGUCAAGUUCAAAACUGGGUCAACUGCGAUCAAAAACUAGGUCAGUAGGUCUAAAAUUAUUAAAAUCUUUUGACCUUUCUAGAGGCCAUAUUUUUCAAUGGAUCUUCAUGAAAAUUGAUCUGAGUGUUCACCUUGAUGAUAUCUAGGUCAGUUUCGAAACUGGGUCACGUGCGGUCAAAAACUAAACCAGUAGGUAUAAAAAUAGAAAAACCUUGUGACCUCUCUAGAGGCCAUAUUUUUCAUGAGAUCUUAAUGAAAAUUAGUGAGAAUGUUCACCUUGAUGAUAUCUAGGUAAAGUUCAAAACAAGGUCACGUACCUUCGAAAACUAGGUCAAUAGGUCAAAUAAUAGAAAAACCUUGUGACUUCUUUAGAGACCAUAUUUUUGAAUGGAUCUUUAUGAAAAUUGGUCAGAAUUUUUAUCUUGAUAAUAUCUAGGUCAAGUUCAAAACUGGGUCACAUGAGCUCAAAAACUAGGUCACUAUGUCAAAUAAUAGAAAAAACGACGUCAUACUCAAAACUUGGUCAUGUGGGAAGAGGUGAGCGAUUCAGGACCAUCAUCGUCCUCUUGUUAGAAAUUGUUGACACACGACACAUCGAGCAGUCACAAAAGCUGACACCUUGAGCCUUUUGCUCAGGUGAGUUAAAAAUGAAUCAUGAUUAAUUAACACCAGAGUAAAAAAUUCUACAUAAUUAUAUACUUUCACUUACUAAAUUUGACUCAGAAUUGGAAGCUUCAGACACUGAGUCGGCUCUGUCAGGUUAGUAUACUGUGGUUGUCAGGUGUAGAAUAAGUAGGUGCUGGUGAUACAUUUGGCUUGACUAAUGGUACAUCAGGCUCUGCACCAUUUUGCUCAAGUUCAGAAUCAUGUGCUUGCACAAGUAUUUCAGACGGGCACAUGUCAGCCGAGCACCGAAAACAUAAAUGUUCCUUUUAAAGUGUGAAGAAUCUUCCAAAAAUAUAAGGUGCAUACUAUGCAACCUCUUAAACUCCCAUGAGGCAAAAGCAUAAUAUAUGAUUACAGUGCAUAUUAAAAAUGUUAGUACACACACACAUUAGAUAAGACGAUAUAAUCCGAUGUUAAAUUCCUGCUCACUUAUGGACUUCUGAUAUAAUUUUACAUUUUCAAAGUUGUUUAAUAUAUACCAAGUUCUUGCAUAAGGCCACACCAAAUUGAUGUCUUGUUCUUCGGAUUUUUUUCAAAAAUAUUUGGGGCGAGUGAGCGAAAAAAUAAUAAUUUUUUUUUUCAAAUCAUUUAUUGAAGCGAGCGAAGAGUGAUGAAAUAAAAAUAAAAAAUAAAUAAUCGCUUGUGUCAUGUUUAUCACCAAAUCAAGUGUAUUUCUAUUCAUAAGCCGGAAAAACAAAUCUGUGUGAAGUAACAUUCAGACAGCAUUGUCUUUGGAGUAUAUGCAUGAAUGUUUAAUGUGCAUACAAUAAAAAGAAAUAUAUCUGCUCCUGACAUUAGACCUUUUAACCUUUGAAGUGCUGGACAACAUGACUUGUAUCUAUUACAAAUGCAGAUCACACAGCACUCUAUUGAACCUGUUAAUCUGAGGAGGUACUAUUCGGUGCCAAGUCUGCAGGCUGGGUUUUACUGACAGAAAUCAAAUGAAAAUCCAGCACUUUGAGAGUUUGACUAUACAAAGUAAACAAAAACAAAUGUUGACACUUUUGAGUGACAUACAAGCAAAUGUCUAGAAUUCCUGGUGUAUUGUCAUGUACCAUCUUUUAUAUCACUCAAACCAAAUAAAGAAUUGUAGAACAAUCAACAAAAACAAAAACCUGCGUUUGAGAAACACACAUAACCCCGGUGGGUUUUACACGGCUGUAUCUGCGGAAAGAUUCAUCUUAUUGUAUAGCGCAGCAGCCCUAACAUCUCUGUAAAACUGCAGCUGGGGGAAAUCUCAACAGCUGUUGCUGAAAAUACCUGCCGUUCGUCAUCUCGGCAUGAGAUAAAAAAAGACAUAGGGGGCUGCCAUUUUGUUAUGCCCUAUUUUUAAAGUGAUCGAAUAUUACAAAUUUUAAUCGAAUAACCUCGUACUACCGGGGUAGGUAUCCCUUCUGUGCGGUAGGGAGACUACGUAGUCGGAUCGGUGACUGUAUUAGAGAACAUGUUCUUCCGUUGCUCCGAUAAAUUACAAGCAAGUUGCGUUUAAACUUCGGAAUUUCCACUUUUUUUUUUGUUCCUACUGAUUUCGACCCAGCACAAAAAAUACGCCAGGUGCAGGCUGUCAAAAAAAAAUUAAAAUAUUUUUUUUUUCAUUUCCCGUCAAAUUGGUGCGGGAAAUCCGACGAACAGGUAAUCAGUUUGGUGUGGCCUAAGUUGUGUAAUAGUUCACCCAUCAAUUAGGUCAAACCAUCAAAUAUAAAUAAGUAUAUUGACCCUGUGAUCACAAUUUGAACAAUCAUUUGUAUAUGUACAUUACACUAAAUAUCUAAGCUCUAGGCCUUCAGGUUUCGGAGAAUAUUUUUCAUUGGUGCGUCAUGUGCUCGGAACGUACGGCUUCUUAUUUAUAAAUCAAUAUGUGGGAGUGAAAACAUCAGUCGAUUUUAAUGAUUUUGUACCAUUCUAAAGCUUUAAUGUUUAUCUAAUUAUUUAUAUAAAUGGAAUCCCUAAAGGAAAAAAAUAAAUCUUGCAGACAAAAUAGAUAUAAAAUGUUUCGAGUCAAGCCAAUUUUCAUGGAUUGGUCGGCAAAGGGCAAACAUACAAUAUUUUAAUUUAGGCCUUGAGUGUCUCCCAUCUAACUAAGAGGCCUGUACUGGUUCAUCCUAGGAAAGACGGCUUCGCGUGUAUCGGUACUAUAACACUAGGCACGUUACUGAACCAGACCGUCUAUUCGCAAAGAGCUAGAAUUAGCCGGACAGGCCUGUAUCUAAAAAGGAUUUUUCACUAUCUGUUCUGCAGCAUGGUGCGCAGUUUUGAAGUCCUAGGUUAAGGAUACUCAUAAUUAACCCUCUCGGCAGGAUACACCCAACUGUUUCCUGGUGCACGUCUUGCUAACACAAUCAUGUCCAAGUUCAGAUCUUUAAAAAAACUUAUUGUUGCACAUUUUCAUUGAUCAGUACCCCAAUCAGAGAACUUGAGUAACACUCUUGGCAAAUUUCUGUUUGAGGAUAGCACACACAGCAGCAGCAUGACGAAAUUGAUUUGAUGUUUGCAUUACUGAAUCAUUCACUGACAUAAACUUGGCCCCUUACAAAAGAUCCUUCAACUGUUUGUGGUGUUUCACAUACCAAAUAGACAGAUGGGAGUAGUAGACAAUGGGAUAAAAAAUAAGAUUGGCUUGUUGUAACUUUUUAUGUUCACUUAUUAUAAAAUAGACAUGUCAGCACGAUCCUUACAUUUGCAAACAACUGGAUCCAGUUGUUCGAAACUUCAACAGGCGACUGAGGUAAUGGUCGAUUAAAUUUAUUAGUAUAUUUCGACAGUUUAGAAAACUUAGAAAAACAAAUGUACUUGUUAAGUAUUAUAAACACUAAAUCAUCUUUACAGUAAAAUUAAAACAUCAUACUAGUGUUUCCCAACCACCAAGACUAGUAUCUUGAAUAGAAAUUUUACAGGCGGUUAGUUUAACAGCUUACUGCAGGGGUCAUGGGUUCGAGCAUCAUUGGGGUCACGACCAUGACUUCUCAUAUGGCACCAGUACAGGUUUUCCCAGGAAACGGACUCGAGAGUGGUUACAAUAAGCUUGAAGCUUUCAUCACAAUCGAGCUAAAACAAAUUAGUAUAAACUAAACUAAACUAACAGCCCGUUAAAGUUUCGAACAACUGGGCCCUGUUAGAAAGUCAAACAACUACAUCAUUCUUACAAGAAAGGCACGAUAUAGUUAAAAGUGUUCGUAGUCCUACGAGCAUCUACGCACUAACAUUUUAUCCUGAUAAACAAAAUAAAUAAAUAAAUAAACACCGACACUGGUUCCUGUUUUUGUAAGAACAAAAAUGAAUAUAACCAUAAUUUCUAAUAGAAUCUGAUAAUUUGUAUGUGAUUAUGUAUAUUAUAUAUUACCAGUAAGCACUAGUCCAUACUUAAAAUACCAGAUUACUUCAAAAACAGUAUUUUUUUUAUCCAACAUGUUUACCUCCGAUUUGCUGUCAGCCUUUUUUGUAGUUUCAGAACCUGGCUAUCUUCUUGAAUCAACGUAUCUGUCAUCGUGUUUCGCCAACAUGCAAACUCCUCACAAAAACUAAUUGUUCAGUAGUUCAAUUUUGAGUAUUUUUGAGAAAUCCAUAUUUAACUGUUUAGCAUUUGCGAUUGCAAAUGACUCAAAGUGUUAAUGAAUGUCAAAUUUUAGUAAGUCCGGUAUUUGAGUAAAACUGAAUUUAUACAAAGUAACCUGCAUUCUUUCACCUGCCCUACUGGCAAAAAAGUGCUAACGGUACAAAGAUACCGUAUUUUCCCGAAUAAACGCCCCCGGGGGCGUUACAUUUUCCAAAGCAUAAAAAAAAAUAUAAAAAAUGAAAAAUUUUAUAAAACUUAAAAACAUCGUUCAAACCAACUGUAAAGUGUUUCUGUGUUGUUUAAUUCCCCCAAAACGUAAUUAUUUGGCAUCCAACUUAAUGCAGUGUGUCUUAAAAUUAUGCAUUUAAAUAUGGUACCUCAUGUAUUCCGUGACACGCUCGCGACAUUACACAUUAUGUCAUCAUAUCCAAACAGCUGUGUACCACGAUAAUAUUUUCCUUAGUACAUGCGGGUAGCAAUACACAAUGUCAGUGGUUUGACACGCUGCUUAUGUGUCGGCAUUUAAAUUAAAAGUUAUUAAAACUGCCGAAGAAAAGGUUAACACGUUGCCGCAAAUUUGUUUAAAGUCGACAGGAAGCAUGUGCGCGGGUGGUGCAAAAACAAAUCAAAAAUGGAUUUACCGUGUAAUUUUCUAUUUGAUGAUUGGAUAUGUACUGUACUUAGUAUAAACGUUUUGGAUUUAUGGUACAUGGACUGUUUAAAAGUGUGUUUAAUUCUUAAUACAUUGGAUACUUACUGUAAAUUACUUAUUAUGUGAACUUAUAAAAAUGAGGUAGGUGAUUUUUUUUUCAUUCUUGUUGACUUUUUUUCCCUCCGAAACGGGUGGGGGGCGUUAAUUAGAGGGUGGGCCUUAAUUCGGGAAAAUACGGUAAUAUCACUCUUAUAAAAACACGUUAAUCCUAAUUUCUAUAGUACGCGUGGGACAUCUAACACCACUAAAUUGCAUACGGUUUCGUCCGAAAGAACAUUUAAGUCUUCUUCAGAAGGUAAGCCGUGACGAAAGCUAACAAAUGGCAGAUCUCGCUCCAUGACUUCGAACAAAGGUUGAUAGAUGCCGUAGCAAUACAGUAUUUUCUGAGGGGGACUAUCAAACAUAUCCUCUUUGUGACGUAAGAGGCGAAAUAACCAGGUGGUUUUGCCACUGCACGUAGCGCCAGACACAGAAAUAGACGUACAUAUAGGGAAAGGAUACAUCUUGAGAAUGACGAGAAGACGUUAUAUCAGUUUCAUUUAUAAAAUUGCUAUGUCACAAAAACUUAAGACGCAAAAGCGAAUAAAGGUCUCGAUUUUUAUUAUAUGUAUCAAAUAGUUAAAUAUAUAAUUUUUAUAUAUAUAGAAAAAUCUGAAUUUUCAAAAGAUAUUCAACACAAAUCUUGAAAAAUGUACAAAAUCAUAGAAUUAAAAUUUCAAAUUGUACAAAUUUAUAAAAAUAUUCAAACUUAUAAAAAUCAAAAUUUACAAAUUUUCGAAAUAUGUAAAAUUCAAAAUCUACACUUUUCUAAAACUUACAAAUUCUAAAAUUCAUAAAAUUUCAAAGUAUUCAAUUUUAUAAAACAUUAAAUGUAAAAAUUCUUAAAUUUCAAAAUGUAUAAAUUCAUGAAACUACAAAUUCUAAAAAUAUUCAUAGCGUACACAUUUAUUAAAAAAAAAAAAAAUAAACAUUCACAAAACUCACAAUAUGCAAAUUUAUAAAACUUAAAAUUUAAAAUGUAUAGAUCAUACGAAAAUGUACAUUUUCACGAAUACACAAUUUCGAAAUAUUUAUAAAACUCUUCUAUUUAAAGCAUAUUUAACAGUUCAUCCUCCGACAAUUCGUCUAUCAUAUCAACCUCCAUAGAUUCAUGUUCUUUUGACAGUUUCUUGGGACACAGAACAAUGUCCAAGGGUGUUGUGUGGAUUCCUUCUUCCAAAACCCUUCUUUUACAAUAAAAGUAAGAAAAUCCGCACCUGGUCUGAUUGUAGGAAUAGACCCCGUUAUUCCUUACGCGGAACCCCUUAUUUUCCCCAGACGAGGGUUUUCCAGUUUGCAGCACUUCUUUAAAAAUAUUUAGGGGUUCCUUGACCAGGCGCUUGGAUACGCCCUUGGAACUAAAUUUGAAAUCCUGCUCAUCUUUGCUCACUAUAUAGGUCUUGGAGCAGAGACCUAUCAUCUCCUCGCCUUCGUAUUCCAUUUUGAAGAGACCGGGCACUCUUUUAUCAUAUUUGGUGUGUUUGGUGCAGCAUUCUCUGGGGAACCAGCAAUCUCCAACGGGAUUAUACUUGUCGUCACAUAGUCCCGUGAGUCCAUCCUGAUAUUCCGCCAACAUAUCGGGUUUGACAACAUCGUCGAGACUCGACGCCGAUAAGGCCAUAUAGGUGGAGUCCUGAAAUAAGAAAAUGUAUAAGCAAAACUGAAUUAGAAAUUUUUAUCUCCCUUACAGAUCGAUUUGAAAAGAUAUAGUUAGAAUGUUUAUAUCAACGAAUAUUUUAAUGAAAAUCAACCAACCGUGUCCAUCUCCAAAUAUUUGAAAUUGGAGCGGUCUACGUAUUUGUCCAGGAGGUUGUAGUAAAACUGCAGCAUCCGUAACUUGGCGUACUGCAGUACGAAGAAACCCAACUGCACGGGGAGGUCGAGCUUGAUGCGUUGUUUGGCGCCCUCGACCUCAUAAUACUGGUCCUCUUCGUCCAGGCACGUAGUCUGACGGAACUGCGGCUUAUUUACCUUGAAGCAUGCCUUGUUCUCUCCCUCCACGUAAUAGACAUUACGGUGUUUCGUCUUGUCCAGUAUUAACGAACCGUAACUAAAAUAAAAGUAAAUAAAUAUAAUAAUAUGUAAAUAAAGUUCUUUUAAAAUAACAUUUAAAGUAGACAAAUUCAUUAAAACUAACUAAAUAUACGAAUGAAUUACCAUGAAAGAUAACUAACAAACUAAAUAAAUAGAUACACUUACCCGUUAUUGCCGAUCAAUUUCAUCGUAUCGGCGAUGAUGGCCAUGUCUUUGCAAGCAUCCCCGGUUCGUCUGGCGUUGCUCACUUCCUUCACGAAGGAGUUGAAACAGGCCAUCUUCCGGUACUCGACUAUCUGGUAGAUUUUGCUCACUUUGAGUCCGUGGUCCAAGUACCAUUUAAGGAAGGGGAUGGCGAGGAGUAUUUGUUGGGCUUUGGUACCACCUACCAACAGGCGUCUUGGCUUAUCGCUCAGCUGGUACUCCCAGACGUGGGCUCGCAUGUGUUCCCCGAUAUCGUCAAACCCCACUUCCGUGUUGCAGAAGAUGGGGCACAUCUCCUCAAAAUAAUCCCGGGGAGUCAUAGAAAUGUGGGCGAACUCAGUACCCCACUGUUCAAAAACUAGGUCACCAGGUCAAAUCAAAGGAAAAGCUAGUUAACACUUUAGAGGCCACAUUUAUGACCAUAUCUUAGUGAAAUUUGGUCAUAAUGUUAAUCUUGAUGAUCUUUAGGUCAGUAGGUCAGGUGAGCGAUACAGGGCCGUCAUGGCCGUCUUGUUAUAGGAGGGAUAAGUAUGAAUACGUUGAAUGGGUUAAUCAUGCAUGACAGACAACAUCUACAUGCAAUUACCUGUGAAAUUACUUUUCCUGUGUACCAUUUAGACUAGCCAUCUUCAACAAAUUGGUGCCGCACUCUUUUCCCUACCAAGAUGUGCUUUUGACUAUCAUCAUCUGCUACAAUAGCCAGUGUCACAAGCUCUUUCAGGUUUGCAGUUAAUUCUUUAACGGUGAGAAAUCUUUGCCUUUUUAGAGAAAUUAAACUUUUGUUUUGUCACUUGGAAGUUGAUGCAGAACAUUUUUCCUGAACCAUAACUGUGCUUUAAUAGUAGGGAUGGGAACGAAUAUUCGAAAAUUAGUUGAAUAUUCGAAUAUGAAAAUCCAAUUCGAAUAUUCGUAAAUUAUUAUUUUUUUUUUCUUUUUUUUUUUUUCAAAAUAAAUAUUGAUUUUGGGCAAUAUAAGCAUGCUAAUUCUAUAGAAUAAAACCAUCUGUUCUGUCGUGUUUGUUCAUCAGAAGAUGUCCAAUUAACAAUGCAUAAUUGGCAGGGGCCACCGUUACGGAUUUACAGUUUGCAACAGGCGUAAAUGUGUCAGAUGCAUGUCAAAAUUGUCCAGUUAUCAAGAAAAUUGCAAUGCAUAAUUAGCUGGGGUCAUCGUUACGGAUUAACAGUUUGUAUAAGGCGUAAAUGUGAUACCUUUUAUCUUUUGUUCAUUUUUAUUGGUGCCUGUUUUAUGUAACAAGUUUUAGAACUUUUUAUGCCCCCGAAGGGAGGCAUAUUAGUUUUCUACUGUCCGUCCGUUCAUUCGUUCGUUCGUUAGUCACAACGUUAACUUUUUGCAUGAAGGCACUUUACUCGCGAACCACUGCACCCAGGACCUUCAUACUUCACGUGCUGAUAGUACUUAUUGAGUACACCACCCCUACUGACUUUGGGGUCACCAAGUCAAAGGUCAAGGUCACAGGGGCCAACGUUAUCUUUUUGCAUGAAGGCCUUUUACUUGCGAACCACUGCACCUAGGACCUUCAAACUUCACGUGCUGAUAGUACUUAUUGAGUACACCACCCCUACUGACUUUGGGUCACCAGGUCAAAGGCCAAGGUCACAGGGGCCAACGUUAUCAUUUUGCGUGAAGGCCUUUUACUUACGAACCACUGCACCUAGGACCUUCAAACUUCACGUGCUUAUAGUACUUACUAAGUACACCACCCCUACUGACGUUGGGGUCACCAGGUCAAAGGUCAAGGUCACAGGGGCCAACGUUAACUUUUUGUGUGAAGGCACUUUACUCGCGAACCACUGCACCCAGGACCUUCAAACUUCACAUGCUGAUAGUACUUAUAGAGUACACCACCCCUACUGACUGGGGUCACCAGGUCAAGGUCACAGGGGCCAACAUUAACUUUUUGCAUGAAGGCACUUUACUCGAGAACCACUACACCCAGGACCUUCGAACUUCACUUGCUGAUAGUACUUAUUGAGUACACCAUCCCUACUGACUUUGGUAUCACCAGGUCAAAGGUCAAGGUCACAGGAGCCAACGUUAACUUUUUGGAUGAAGGCACUUUACUCGCGAACCACUUCACCCAGGAUCUUCAAACUUCACAUGCUGAUAGUACUUAUUGAGUAAACCAACCCUAUUGACUUUGGGGUCACCAGGUCAAAGGUCAAGGUCACAGGGGCCAACGUUAACUUUUUGCAUGAAGGCACUUCACUCGCGAACCACUACACCCAGGACCUUCAAACUUUACAUGCUGAUAGUACUUUAUGAGUACAAAACCCCUACUGACUUUGGGGUCAACAGGUCAAAGGUCAAGGUGCUGCCGGGGCAUUUGUCACUAUUGGUGACAGCUCUUGUUUUAUUCGAAAAUAAUACCAAACUUGUAGAUAUUGUCUAUCUUUUUACAAUAUUUUGUACGACAUUUCAGACCGCCCGCAGGAUCGGUUUUCAUCCGAAUUUGGCCGUAUUCGAAAUAAAUUUUGAAGUAGUUUAUAGUAAAGCAAGAAAUAACAUAUGAUUGAUGCAUUAGAUCAUGUUGAAGGAGGUUUAAGUCUACCAUACUUGCUUUUUACUCGCUGAUUGAAAAUUUUCAAAAUGGCGGCAGUAAUACAACAGUGGGAGACAUGCUUAAAUGGGACAACCUGCUACUUUUAGAUAAAGUUGCGACGGUCUUAGUUAUAUUAAUCGAUUUGAUGUUUUUUGUAUCAUUUUUAAGGUAAAACACUGAAUUAGUUAAAUAUGUUCAUGAUUAUACUAACCAGGGUUCCCACGCUUCCAGGAAAACGGGAAAAGUCUGUGAAUUUCAAAAAUUGACUCCCGGCCGUGAAAAUACCGGGAAUUUAGCAAGAAAACGGUAAAGGUACGGGAAAAUACCGGGAAUUAUCCAAUUUUGCUAAGGGAAGUAAUUCAUGAUUCAAAAUGGCGGACGUGGAUGUAAUUUCAAUUUCCUUUUUCGAAAAUACCGAUGUUUUUGUGGUUGAUGGGCCUAUAUAGGUAGCUAUGCUUGAAUUUUUAAACAGUAAUUUUAGGCUUUCGGUCAUUUUUGUGUUGAUUUUGAAGAAGCCCUGUGAUUAGUGACACGCUUGGAUUCAGUGAUCAAACAACAACUUGACUGAAAAUAAUUUAAUUGCUAGAAGUGUAUCAAAGAUUAUAUAAAUAAUGUAAGUGGCACCAGAAAUGUAGUUAUUAUGAAGGAGUUGAUUAAUUCUUCACAACAUGCUAGACAAGUAAAUGAUUCAUAGUUUCCUUGAGAAACAAAACUUCAGGACAGUAAGGAAACUAAAUGAAAAAAAAAGAAAAUUUGCAGAGUGCAGACCCUGUAUUUAUUUAAUAAGUAGAAAUUUUUAAGCAAUAUCGGGCCAUCAUGGCCCUCUUGUUCUUAUAUUUUUACACUGAAUCUAGAAAAAUUGACGGGAACGUACAACCCGAUAUGUCGUACAGAGGUCCUUGAAAAUCGCAACAAGGUCCUGGAAAAGUCCUUAAAUUUCAUAGACGAAAAAGUGUGGGAACCCUGACUUAAAGAAUCGUGAAAUAAAACGUUAAUGUCCGCGGUUUAGGCCUUAUUACGUACGAUGAUUCACGCUUUAUAUAAAGGAGUACAGUGUCUAUAUGCCAAUCACUUAAUAAGAAUUUAAAGUGUCAAUUAAAACAGACCGAAUAUUUGAAUAUAUUCGAAUAUGGCAAACCGAAUAUUCGAAUAUUGAUUUCAGUAUUCGUUCCCAUCCCUAUUUAAUAGCUUUAGUUUUAUCACUGAAUAUCUUGUAUGACAACAGCAUAUUAUCCACCUCUGAUUCACCUUGCCAUAAACCAAAAUGAAUGAUGUCCUUUUUGUAUUUUCUUGCUGUCUUAGCUUUACUUUCUUGCAGUUUCUUUUUAAUGAAUUUGGUCUUACACAGCAAUUCUCUUUGCUCUUCAAUGGCGUUCAACCUGCGUUUAUAAUUCUGGCACAUAUUUUUCAUUGAUUUUGAAGCCUUCUUUAUCAACUCUUGUUUUUCGUUUUCAUUUGUGGAGUUUCACCAGUCAGUUGUUUAUUAUUUAAGAACAUGAUGCAAGCUUCUGCAGCAAGAGUACUCAUUUUGGGUUUUGUCCACAACAGAUGAUCUAACUGUCCAAGGAAUGCUUUUGGCAUAACAAGAUGUUUUAGUAGCAUUUUUAGCUCACCUGAGCCAAAGGCUCAUGGUGAGCUAUUGUGAACACUCAAUGUCCGUCGUGCGUAGUCUGUCCGUCAACAUUUCCUAAAAAAAAUUUUCUUCUUGAAAACCACUGGGCAGAAUUACACCAAACUUCACAGGAAUGAUCCUUGGGUGGCCCCCUUUCAAAAUUGUUCAAAGAAUUGAAUUCCAUGCAGAACUCUGGUUGCCAUGGCAACCGAAAGGAAAACUUCAAAAAUCUUCUUGUCCAAAACCACAGGGCCUAGGGCUUUGAUAUCUGGUGUGUAGCAUCAUCUAGUGGUCCUCUACCAAAAUUGUUCAAAUUAUCCCCUAGGGUCAAAUAUGGCCCCGCCCCGGGAGUCACAUGGUUUAUAUAGACUUAUAUAAGGAAAACUUUGAAAAUCUUCUUGUACAAAACCACAUGGCCUAGGGCUUUGAUAUUUGGUGUGUAGCAUCAUCUAGUGGUCCUCAACCAAGAAUGUUAAAAUUAUUCCCCUAGGGUCAAAUAUGGCCCCGCCCCGGGGGUCACAUAGUUUAUAUAGAGUUAUAUAGGGAAAACUUUGCAAAUCUUCUUGUACAAAACUACAUGGCCUAGGGCUUUGAUAUUUGGUAUCUAGCAUCAUCUAGUGGUCCUCUACCAAGAUUAUUCAAAUUAAUCCCCUAGGGUCAAAUAUGGCCCCGCCCCGGGGGUCACAUGGUUUAUAUAGUGUUAUAUAGGGAAAACUUUGAAAAUCUUCUUGUACAAAACCACAUGGCCUAGGGCUUUUAUAUUUGGUAUGUAGCAUCAUCUAGUGGUCCUUUACCAAGAUUGUUCAAAUUAUCCCCCUAGGGUCAAAUAUGGCCCCGCUCCGGGGGUCACACGGUUUAUAUAGAGUUAUAUAGGGAAAACUUUGAAAAACUUCUUGUACAAAAUCACAUGGCCUAGGGCUUUGAUAUUUGGUAUGUAGCAUCAUCUAGUGGUCCUCUACCAAGAUUGUUUAAAUUAUCCCCCUAGGGUCAAAUAUGGCCCUGCCCUGGGGUCACUUAGUUAUUAUGUGAGUUAUAUAGGAAAAAUACUUAAAAAAUCAUCUGAUUCUAUUUCCAAGACUAUUUAAUUAUAAUUACCUGAUGACCCCAAGUAAUAUGGUGUCACUUAAUUGUGACCUUGACCUACUGACCUACUUUCUUGUUUUUUAAGAUACAGCCUUGAAAUUUUGAUGACUUACACAGUUUUGCACACAAAUCGUAAAACUGAAUUUCAUUGACCAUGAAUGUGACCUACUGACUUUCUUAAUAUUUUAUCAUCAGUUUGACAUUAGAAACAUGUAGCUCAUAUUACUCAGGUGAGCGAUCCAGGGUCAUCAUGACCCUCUUGUUUGUUAAGCUGCAGUGCUGAUUCAACUGUUUAAUCAGCACUGCAGCUUAUCAAUAAAUCUAUAGUCUGUAAAUUUCUCUAGCCUGAUAAAUCUAAAUUAAACUUAAAGAAAAGUUCACUACGACCAUCUAUAAUUGCUUUUAAUGGUUGACAUGUAAUUAAAUCAAAACACUUUGAAUUAAUGACCUUAUAAACUGACCAAAACAAAAUGCUGUUAAUAUUGUAGUGAUUUUUAAUACAAACAAGAUGAUUUCAAAUAAAGUCACUUCACCCAUUAUCUUGUUGUACCCACCGACAACAAAGUUGUAAGGGGGAGUAUACUGGUUUCAGGUUGUCUGUCUGUCUGUCCGUAGACGCAAUCUUGUGCGCACCAUCUUGUGCGCACCAUCACUCCUUAUCUCCUUGACAGAAUUUAAUGAAACUUCACACAAGUGAUCAGUACCAACAGUAGUUGUGCAUGGGGCAUGUUAGGUUCUUUUAGAAAAAAAAUUUGCAGAGUUAUGGGACUUUGUCUUUUUGUUGCUAUACUAUAUACAUAGACACAAUCUUGUGCGCACCAUCUCUCCUCAUCCCCUUGACACAAUUUAAUGAAACUUCACACAAGUGAUCAGUAACAACAGUAGUUGUGCAUGGGGCAUGUUAGGUUCUUUCAGAAAAAAAAUUUGCAGAGUUAUGGGACUUUGUUUUUUUUGUUACUAUACUAUAUACAUAGAUACAAUCUUGUGCGCACCAUCUCUCCUCAUCCCCUUGACACAAUUUAAUGAAACUUCACAACAGUGAUCAGUAACAACAGUAGUUGUGCAUGGGGCAGGUUAGGUUCUUUCAGCGACAAAAUUUGCAGAGUUAUGGGACUUUGUUUCUUGUUAACAUACUAUGUACAUACAGUCUGCAUAUGCAAUCUUGUGCAUGCCUAAUCUACCAAACCCUUGCACACAAUUUAAUGAAACUUCACACAAGUGAUCAGUACCAACCCUAGUUGUGCAUGGUGCAUGUUACAUUCUUUAAGAUAAAUAUUCUGCAUAGUUAUGGGACUUUGUUUUUUGUUACUAUACUGUAUACAUACAGUCUAUAUACAUACAGUCCACAUAAUUAUGCAAUCUUGUGUGCGUCAAAUUGCAAUGUACUGUGUCAGUGCAUGCAGGGGGUACAUUCAUCACCUUUAGUGAUAGCUCUAGUUUUCUUUAUUUUUUGAAAAAUAAAAUGGUCUUUCUUUAAAAUUGAAGAUUGGUCAUAUUAUGACGUUAGAACAUGGUAUCUUUCUGCUAUACCAUUAAUCAAGAAAGAAGUCCCUUUCACAUAUCAGAAAUGUAAUAUUUAUAACUGCCUUGGUAGCCUAGUGGUAGAGCGUCCGCUUCGAAUGCGGGAGGUCGUGGGUUCGAACCCUGGCCGUGUCAUACCAAAGACGUAAAAAAUGGUUCUAGUAGCUUCCUCGCUUGGCGCUUAGCAUUAGGAGGGUAGUGCUAGGACUGGUCAGCCAGGUGUCGGUAUAAUGUGACUGGGUGGGGUAUCAUGUAAUGUGUCUACAGCGUGAUAUUCCAGUGAGGCAGCACUAUAAAGUUGGGCAUUGUGCUCACUGCUACAAGUAGACACCGUCAUUUAUAUGACUGAAAAAUUGUUGAAAAAGACGUUAAACCCAAACCACAAACACACACACACACACACGUAAUAUUUAUAUAACAUACAGUUUAACUGAAAAAAGUAUUUCAAUAUAGAAUCUACUAAAGAUAUACCUUUUCAAAGAUGUUAUUUUUCUUGCUUAGGUUAUCAGACUUUUGCCUGAAAGCUUUUGUGGUUGAUAACACUAACUAUGCCAUUGAAGUCCGUCUCUGCUGCACUCGUUACAUCUUUGUAACCAUAAGCGACAUGAAACAUUUAGCCUUCCCAUGGAUUACUGCACCACUGGCUGGCGUCAGUGUUUUGGUAAGUUGGACCGUAGUAACGAUGUGCAUUCUGGAUCUCCAUUUUAAGAUUGUCGCAGAUCUUAUUUGGGCAACCAGCAGGGUAGUAUCUUGUGGCAGCAUUUCUGUGAAAACUACAUUUAGAUCAUGCAAGGGUAAGGCAGUGGUUCCAAUUCUUUUCAUACACAGAUCGCUCCAGAACCACAUGGGGCAAGUUGGUUGUAUUUUGGUAUACGUUGAUGACAGUUAAUUAAUAUAUGUUAUGCUCACAUGGUCUCCUGGCCUGGCUUCGGUGUCAGCUGCAGACCUCGCUCUUGCUGUGUGAUCCUCCACAGUUACUAUUUUAAUGGUAACUUCUUCUCCCCUUACCAUCACUUGUUGGGACUCAUCUUCCUGCAAUGCAGUAAAACAUAUCAGUAUGCACACAGUAGUCCAUGUGUUCUGCAAUUCACGACUGCAGGUCUUAGCUCCAAUGGCCUUUUAUCACUGACAGGUUGCAGGGACUGCAAGGUAAUAAUUCUGCUGUCUUUAUAGCCAGUAUAUAACAGAUAGUGAAUACAAAUUCUGAAUUUUCUUUUGGUCAGAAUUAUAUAGAAUAUGGUCGAGUUAUGGACAAUUUUGUAAUGUCAAUUUUAAUAUAUAAGAAAGGAAAUGUUCAAGGACACAUUCUUUAGAUUUUGAAAAUUUAAUUGCAUAUCAAGGAGAUAUAUAGUGGAAACAAAAUGGAAGGAAGGCUCAUCAUACCUUUCAUUUUUAGCUGUGACCUUAACCUUGAGUCAGAAUGGCUGAUGCGUGUUCUGCACAUGUCUUGACGAGGUGAUCAUCAUGUCUCCCCCCCACCCCUCUGGGGGAGACAUAUUGUUUUUGCCCUGUCCGUAUGUCACACUUCAUUUCCGAGCAAUAACUGAAGAACCAUUUGACCUAGAACCUUUAAACUUCAUAGGGUUGUAGGGCUGCUGGAGUAGACGACCCCUAUUGUUUUUGGGGUCACUCCGUCAAAGUCAAGGUCACAGGGGCCUGAACAUUGAAAACCAUUUCCGAUCAAUAACUAGAGAACCACUUGACCCAGAAUGUUGAAACUUCAUAGGAUGAUUGGUCAUGAAGAGUAGAUGACCCCAAUUGAUUUUGGGGUCACUGCGACAAAGGUCAAGGUCACAGGGGCUUGAACAUUGAAAACCAUUUCCGAUCAAUAACUAGAGAACCACUUGACCCAGAAUGUUGAAACUUUAUAGGAUAAUUGAUCAUGAAGAGUAGAUGACCCCUAUUGAUUUUGGGAUCACUCUGUCAAAGGUCAAGGUUACAUGGGCCUGAACAUUGAAAACCAUUUCCGAUCAAUAACUAGUGAUAAUAAGGCCUGUUUUGAAUUGAGUGUGCUCAAAUUCUUGAUGAAGGACAUGAAAUCUGAAUGUGUCACUUCAGGGACACUUCUUGAUUUUUUUUUACGGUACAGUCAAACCUGUCUGAAAUGACCACUCUUGGGAGAGCGAAAAUGUGAUCUUUAUUGGGAGGGGGUCUUUAUUGACAGGUUAAAAUACGCUGUAAAUGUUAAAAUGGAAAAGAAAGUGUGUGUUCUUUAAAGUCAGGUGGUCUCUGUUCAGAGGUGGUCUUUAACACAGUUUUGACUUUAUUUGUUACAUUUACAGUUAUGGCAGGGCAUUGAAUGUAUUUAUUGAUCAUGCGGCUUCUUGGCUCCUAUAAGGUGUAUCAUACUUAGACUUAUAAUCCGACAGUAACAACCAUUUGUCUCUAUUACAGUGAUUUAGUCUCUAUCUGCUUAUAUCAAGAAAAUGAGUGCUAGGACAUGACUACAAGCCUUCUGGAGUCCUGCCAUACAUUCUGCAAUCAUGCUGCAAAUAACAGGUAAACAUGCUGCGAAUACUUGAAUACAAUGCAUGAACAAAGUGUUUGAGGAAUGUUUGUUUGAUCAUUUUCACUGUUUUCAUUAUUAGCUCACCUGAGCCAAAGGCUCAGGGUGAGCUAUUGUGAUCACUCAUCGUCUGGCAUCCGUCGUCCGUCCGUAAACUUUUACUUUAAACGACAUCUCCUCAUAAACCGCUAGGCCAAUUUCAUCCAAACUUCACAGGAAUGUUCCUUGAGCUCAAAAAAUUGUUCAAAGAAUUGAAUCCCAUGCAGAACUCUGGUUGCCAUGGCAACUGAAAGGAAAAAACUUUAAAAAUCUUCUUCUCAAAAACCAGAAGCCCUAGAGCUUAGAUAUUUGGCGUGAAGUAUUCCCUUGUGGACCUCUACCAAAUUUGUUCAUAUCAUGACUCCGGGGUCAAAAUUGACUCCGCCUGAGUGCCCGAGGGGUCAUAUGAUUUUACAUAGGAAAAUCUUUAAAAAUCUUCUUCUCAAAAACCAGAAGCCCUAGAGCUUAGAUAUUUGACAUGUAGCAUUGCCUAGUGGACCUCUACUAAAGUUGUUCAAAUCAUGACCAUGGGGUCAAAAUUGACUACACCCCAGGGGUCACUUGAUUUUACAUAGAUUUCUAUAGGAAAAUCUUCAAAA